CACCCGAAAUAAAUCAAGCUAUUUUUUUAUGUGUUUGUAACGUUGUAAAGUUAUAACUAAUUUAAAAAUAAAAGCUAUAUACUAAUUGCGGUUUUUGAUAUCUGGUUAUUUGUUAGUUGUGUUUAGUACAGAAAUUUAUGUUUAUAUGAAUUUUGAUUAAGUUUGGGUAAGCUAAACUUAUUAUAUAUUAAUUUAAGUUUUAUAAUAAAUUUUUUUUAUACUCUUAAUAUUAGGGAUUUUUAGUUUGUUAUAAAUAAUUUAAUUAUACGUUUUUAUUUGUUUUUAUAUAAUUAUUUUUUAAAACAUUUAAUGGAAUAGAUUUUAUUAAUGAUGAUAAUAAUUAGUAUAAUAUGUUUAUUUAGUAUUAGUAUUUUGAAGUUUAUGCUAAUGUAACUUUAUUUUUAGAAUAUAUUACAAUAAUUAAUUUGGCAAAUAGUUAUUUCCGACUGUUUAACAAAAACAUUUCUUUUUGCAUUUAAUAAAAAGUAGGCCCUGCCCGGUGUAAUUUAUUAUUAACGGCGGCAUUAGCGUGAGUGUCCUAAGGUAGCGUGAUAAUUUGUUUUUUAAUUGGAAAAUGGUAUGAAAGGGUUAACGUGAAAUAAGCUGUAUCAUUAUAAAGUUUUAAAAAUUAACUUUAAAGUGAAGAGGCUUUAAUGUGAAAAAAAGACGACAAGACCCCGUGAAGCUUGACCUUAUUAAGCACGUUGUUUUUAUAUGGUUUUAAUGGGAAAUUAUUUUUAUUAUGUUUAAGAAAUAUAAUGCUUUCUUACAGGUUUUAAAUCUAUUUUUGUAGAUAUGAUUAAGCUACUCCGGGGAUAACAGCACUAUUUUUUCGUAGAGGUUCCUAUCGAUGAAAAAGUUUGUGACCUCGAUGUUGGCUUUAGAAAACUAAAAGGUGUAGCAGCUUUUUAAGUGGGUCUGUUCGCCCUUUAAUAUCUAACAUGAGCUGAGUUCAGAACGGCGUAAGCUAGUUCAGUUUCUAUCUUUUUUAAAAAAAAAUUAAAUAUAUUAGUACGAAAGGAAU
rnacentral:rRNA from 1 species